UGCCAGCUGACAGAGACAUGGUUCUCAUCCAUCAGCACAUGCAGCGCACCUUUCCACUCCCCCGUGAAGAGAUUGUGACGUUAGCUCCUCCCAUCGCAUAAUUGAAAGAUAGAUGGCCUGCCCUCUUCUCUGAAGCUCAACUCUAUGGCGAAUUCCAUAGGAUCACAAAUCAAAGCCUUCAAUAUUCCUUCUUCGCUGCGCUCGAUAAAAACACGACACAGCUGCUCAAACUCUACAAAGAGAGGAAGACUGGAGCUUUUGGUGAGAAGAUGGCAGAUCUGCUGAUGGCAUAUGAGGAGCAGGACAAGAAUGACAUCAGUGCAACGAGAACAGCAGCACUGGCAGGGCUGCCACUACCUAAAAGAAGACUCAUCAGUGAUCUUAAAGAGUUGCAAGGAGGAGGAAUUCGAAGCAUUCCAGGAGGGUGCAGUGGCGCUGUUGGCUGUGGUGGCUGAAGAGGACACGGCUGCAGGGAUUCCCUUUCAACCUCUUCAUGUCUCAGUCAUCCUGGAGGGUCAGGUGGUUAUGACUCUCAGAUCUUGGACUGAUGCACUGGUGGUGUUGUUCAGCUUGGUUUAUGCUCUCAAUUUGAGCUAUGCGGCGCAGCUGAGUGGCUUUUUUGACUUUAUUCAGGUUGUCCUAUUAAAUCUAGACGAUACAAGAAAGCAGCUCAAACCUAAGUUGCAGGCCUUAAAAAAAUCAGCUGGUGUAAACGGGGGAUGUCCUGCACCAAUACUUCCAGCAGUCAUGGUUUAAAAUUGCUUGUUGUUGGCUGCUGAGAUUAGUUAUGUCCCAUCCUGUUCCAGAGGAAAUGAAAGAGCGCACCUAGUUAAAUUAGGUAGCAUAGUUAGUUAAGUUAAGAUAGUUCUUAAGCAAGCCCAACAUUUUGUUAAUAGAGGGGAAUGGAUAGGAGACAGGAAUGGAGAGGAGACAGGAAUGGAGAGAAAAUAAUUUUAAAUAAAUGAUAAUAUGUUUUUAAAAAAACGUUUCAACGUUUCAGUUUGUUGUGAGCAAAAUGUAUUUGUUCAGUGAUUUCAUUUUUUGUAAAGAUUGUAUUUUUUGUAAUGAUUGAAUUUUUUGUAAUUUCAUAAUGUGUAAUAAUGGCAUAAUGUGUAAUGUUGUGGUCAAAGAAUCAUAUUUGUUCAAAUAAAUGUAUUGUAUCUAA